rnacentral:rRNA from 1 species
GAUGAAUGCUGGCGGCGUGCCUAAUACAUGCAAGUCGAGCGGUAAGGCCCUUCGGGUACGACGAGCGGCGGACGGCUGAGUAACGCGUGGGAACAUGCCCCAAAGUGAGGGAUAACGCACCGAAAGGUGUGCUAAUACCGCAUAUGGUCUUCGGAUUAAAGGAUUUAUCCGCUUUGGGAGUGGCCCGCGUACGAUUAGAUUGUUGGUGAGGUAACGGCUCACCAAGUCGACGAUCGUUAACUGGUCUGAGAGGAUGAUCAGUCAGACUGGAACUGAGACACGGUCCAGACUCCUACGGGAGGCAGCAGUAAGGAGUCUUCCACAAUGGGCGAAAGCCUGAUGGAGCAACGCCGCGUGCAGGAUGAA